CUUCUGGAAGCAAGAUGCUUGAAUGCAAAGAAACCGAGUGCCUAUGAUGAGGGUUUCAGGCAGGUCUGUGAGAGAUAGUUUGUGGGGGUGGUGGGGACUUUCUUCAGAUCACACCAUCUGGACAAGCAUCUGCCUCUCCCCUUCUCUCUAAAGUAGCCCAGAGAGCUGCGGGCUGGGAAGGGGGCAAGGGCAAGACUCAGCCAAGGAGGCAGGGUGGGGGAUGGCUGUGUUUGUGACUCGUGCACUACCUUGCCUCCGAAUGGGUUAUUAGCUGCAUUUAGGGUUGCACCGCCCACGUGUGGUCCCAGGUGCAACAGGCUUGAAAGGAGCUGGACCUGGGCCACAUCAGAGGUGGGGCUGGAGGUUGGCAACCCCAGGGUGGGACCUCCCUCCCCCAGUGGAAUCUUGACUCUCAAGACUUAAGAGCUGGGAGGCACCUCAGAGGCUCAGCCAGCAUAUGUCAGUGCACAAAAGAGGUUCAUGAAAGGAAACAGCUGCACCGAUACCAGCAGGAGCUGCUGCAGCUACAGAUUUGAGGCGUGCACCUGCAUGGGGUUGGGUGACAAGGGAUUUGUCAGGGAAGGGAGUAUCAUGGAAUACCAGGACUCUAAAGCCAGAGGGAUGGAUGGCUCCAGGGUGGCAAAUUGGAUACCCCACUGCUCACCUGGAGGUCAUGGGAUCACACCUGACUUGAAUUAGUCAAAAGGAUUCCAGGAUGAGGGUUAGUUGGUCGUUUAUGAAUGAAAUGAUUAGCUGGAUGUAACAGUUCCUAAUAAACAGAUUGUCCAUAUCAA